rnacentral:rRNA from 1 species
GACGAACGCUGGCGGCGUGCCUAAUACAUGCAAGUCGAACGAACCGCGACUAGGUGCUUGCACUUGGUCAAGGUGAGUGGCGAACGGGUGAGUAACACGUGGGUAACCUACCUCAUAGUGGGGGAUAACAGUCGGAAACGACUGCUAAUACCGCAUAGGACAUAGGAUCACAUGAUUCUGUGAGGAAAGGUGGCGCAAGCUAUCGCUAAGAGAUGGACCCGCGGUGCAUUAGCUAGUUGGUAGGGUAAAGGCCUACCAAGGCGAUGAUGCAUAGCCGACCUGAGAGGGUGAUCGGCCACAGUGGGACUGAGACACGGCCCAAACUCCUACGGGAGGCAGCAGUAGGGAAUCUUCCGCAAUGGACGCAAGUCUGACGGAGCAACGCCGCGUGAGUGAAGAAGGUCUUCGGAUCGUAAAGCUCUGUUGUUAGAGAAGAACAGCGCAUAGAGUAACUGUUAUGCGUGUGACGGUAGCUAACCAGAAAGCCACGGCUAACUACGUG